rnacentral:rRNA from 1 species
UACAACGAGUCGCAAGACCGCGAGGUUUAGCAAAUCUCUUAAAGCCGUUCUCAGUUCGGAUUGUAGGCUGCAACUCGCCUACAUGAAGUCGGAAUCGCUAGUAAUCGCGGAUCAGCAUGCCGCGGUGAAUACGUUCCCGGGCCUUGUACACACCGCCCGUCACACCAUGAGAGUUUGUAACACCCAAAGCCGGUGGGGUAACCUUUUGGAGCCAGCCGUCUAAGGUGGGACAGAUGAUUGGGGUGAAGUCGUAACAAGGUACC